rnacentral:tRNA from 1 species
GCUGUUGUAGCGUAGCGGUAGCGCACCUCCUUGGUAAGGAGGGGGUCGUGAGUUCAAUCCUCACCAACAGCACCA